AUUGAACGCUGGCGGCAGGCCUAACACAUGCAAGUCGAACGAGUGGCGGACGGGUGAGUAAUGCUUGGGAAUCUGGCUUAUGGAGGGGGAUAACUACUGGAAACUGUAGCUAAUACCGCGUACCAUCGGAUGUGCCCAAGGGGGAUUAGGUAGUAGGUGAGGUAAAGGCUCACCAAGCCGACGAUCCCUAGCUGGUCUGAGAGGAUGACCAGCCACACGGGAACUGAGACACGGUCCAGACUCCUACGGGAGGCAGCAGUGGGGAAUAUUGCGCAAUGGGGGCAACCUGACGCAGCCAUGCCGCGUGAAUGAAGAAGGCCUUCGGGUUGUAAAGUUCUUUCGGUAGCGAGGCGUUAACUACAGAAGAAGCACCGGCUAACUCCGUGCCAGCAGCCGCGGUAAUAC
rnacentral:rRNA from 1 species